GACGAACGCUGGCGGCGUGCUUAACACAUGCAAGUCGAACGAAGAGCGAUGGAAGCUUGCUUCUAUCAAUCUUAGUGGCGAACGGGUGAGUAACGCGUAAUCAACCUGCCCUUCAGAGGGGGACAACAGUUGGAAACGACUGCUAAUACCGCAUACGAUCUAAUCUCGGCAUCGAGGAUAGAUGAAAGGUGGCCUCUACAUGUAAGCUAUCACUGAAGGAGGGGAUUGCGUCUGAUUAGCUAGUUGGAGGGGUAACGGCCCACCAAGGCGAUGAUCAGUAGUCGGUCUGAGAGGAUGAACGGCCACAUUGGGACUGAGACACGGCCCAGACUCCUACGGGAGGCAGCAGUGGGGAAUCUUCCGCAAUGGACGAAAGUCUGACGGAGCAACGCCGCGUGAGCGAUGACGGCCUUCGGGUUGUAAAGCUCUGUUAAUCGGGACGAAAGGCCUUCUUGCGAAUAGUGAGAAGGAUUGACGGUACCGGAAUAGAAAGCCACGGCUAACUACGUG
rnacentral:rRNA from 1 species